ACAAUAAUCCAGUGUCCCAUAGGGCCUUGCAUGUGUGAGUUCUAGAACUGUCACAGCAUUCUACUUGCCCACUUAACAAUGAAGCCAACACACACAAAGGCAUCUUAGGAAAUACCAUGAAAGAAAGCUUGAGUCACUGGACCAAGUAAACUCCAAGUCCUUCUUCACUGCUAACCAUUGAGCAUGGGCAGCCAGCUUUGGCAUUAUUUGAUGCUAUAACUCACCAGAUCAGAGAAUAUUCCUCAGGAUAUUUCAGAGCAAAAGCCCAGAGUGCAAGCCCAAUUGAAACAGAAAGAAGGAUAACUGCAAGAUCAGCUUCACACAUGGAAGACUUGGUUUCUGAUCACACAGGAAAUGCAAAGAGAAAGGAGGAAAAAUUGCUCUGAGCUGAACCACAGGCCUAACCAUCUGGACCGAUCUGUGGGCUUGUUAGUCCUCAGAUUUACAACCUGCUGCUAAUGGAAUUGUUGCAACAAUCUGGACAUGGAAGCUGAAGAAAGGGAUCUGGGUCACCCAGUGCCACAGCCACCCAGAAGCUGGGACAGCUCUUCCACUCUCCUGCUCUUAGGACAGCUCACCUACCAUCACAUCACAGCUCUACCAUGAUGCCCAGCUGAGAAUGGAAUGCUCAUUAGCUAAUGAAAGCUUAGCUACUGACUAUCCAAGAAAAGGCAAGGAUCAUGUAACCUGCAAUUCAUGUGAAAACUAUUUCAAGGAUUAGAGCUGUGAUUGCAUGUGAGCUUUGAGGAAUCAUAUCACAGGAGGAACCAAGGAAAGAUCUAGAAGUGGGCAGUAUCGUAUUUGGACCUUGAUGGAUUCUGGCUCACCAGAUGCUCAUGAAGUAACAAAAGAGAAAAUGUAAAAGUGACACUUCAGUUGUCCAAAGUCAUUCCUCUGCUGAGAUUCUCCUUGUCUUAAUAAAAGAUGAUUGUUAGCCUUCAAAUUCCCUGGUUCACUGCUCUGGAGAACUUAUACAAAGGCUGGGAAGAGGCUAAAAUUAAAUGAAGGAAAACACUUUAUAUCUUCCUGUAACUAUUCUAUGAGCUAAGUAGUUCCCAGUUGAAGGAAACGGGCCCGCAGUUUCACUUCAUACAGUGGGUGAUUCACGAACUGGGGAAGUCGAGUUUCUGUGAAGAUAAGCGGGUUAGGAGACAAGGAAGACACCAAGUAGAUGCUUAUCAAGAGCUGUCUCCGGUCCUAAACACCUGAUGGGCCAAGCCGGCCUGCUGCCUCAGGAGUCCAAUUGAGGAAUCCCGUUGAGCUCAGCGGAGAUAGUACACCCAGUGACCUGAUGUUGAGCAUCUUUUCAUGUGUUCCUUGGAUCUCAGAGCCUUGAGGAGAGGGCUUUAAUGAAGACAUCCCAUUUAGGACUGAGUGUGCUCUGAAAACCUGCACUCUCUCCAUAUUGUCCUGUUGUAUGUCUCUGUGUUUAUUUCCAUCUACUGCAAGAAGCUUUUCUGCUGAUGGUUGGCCAAACCAGCAAACAAAAAAAAAGGGAAAGACUCUUAAGAAACUCACAUCAGUGGCAAAAGUUUGUUGUCAUUUCCUUUGGACCUGUCAUUCCCAUUGAGAGGAUAUGAACAUCUCAACAGUACAAGCAUGGUCUGCUUCUUCUUCCACUUAAAGAACCCUGAAUCAAGACAGUUCUCAGCUCAGGAAAGGUGAUUACAUGGAUAUGGAAAGAACAAGAACAUAGCAAAAAAUAAAAUGUUCUUUCGACA